rnacentral:rRNA from 1 species
GACGAACGCUGGCGGCGUGCCUAACACAUGCAAGUCGAACGGUAAGGCCCUGCUCUUGUGGGGUUCUCAAGUGGAGAAAGGGGGAGUAUCACGUGAGUAACCUGCCCUUGACUUUGGGAUAACUUCAGGAAACACGGACGAUUAUCCCGUAGAACCUCCUGCUGCAUGGUGGGGAUGGGAAAGAUUCGCCGGUUGGGGAUGCACUCGUGGCUCAUCAUCUUGUUGGUGAGGUAGUGGCUUACCAAGGCUUUGACGAGUAGCCGGCCUGAGAGGGUGACCGGCCACAAUGGGACUGAGAUGCGGCCAAGAGUGAUACGUGAGGCAGCAGUGAGGAACAUUGCGCGAUGGGCGGAAGCCUGGUGCAGGAUCGCCGCGUGGGAGAUGACGGCCUGUGGGUUGUAAACCGCUUUCGCCUGUAACGAAGCGUGAGUGACGGUAAUGGGUAAGGAAGCACCGGCUAACUACGUG